rnacentral:rRNA from 1 species
CCCUGCCAUUUGUACACACCGCCCGUCGCUACUACCGAUUGAACGUUUUAGUGAGGUACUUGGACUGGAGCUUCGGAGGUUUCGGCCUCCGUGGCAUCCGGGAAGAUUCCCAAACUUGAGCGUUUAGA